AAAUAAGUAAGCUAAUCAAAGCUCCUAGGUUCAUACCCUAGAUAUAGAUGAAUUUAAUCUCUUAUUUA
rnacentral:tRNA from 1 species